rnacentral:rRNA from 1 species
UACGAAGGGGGCGAGCGUUGUUCGGAAUUACUGGGCGUAAAGGGCGCGCAGGCGGCCUUAGAAGUCAGAUGUGAAAGCCCCGGGCUCAACCUGGGAAUGGCAUUUGAUACUCUGAGGCUGGAGUACGGGAGAGGAGAGUGGAAUUCCCAGUGUAGAGGUGAAAUUCGUAGAUAUUGGGAAGAACACCGGUGGCGAAGGCGGCUCUCUGGACCGUAACUGACGCUGAGGCGCGAAAGCGUGGGGAGCGAACGGG